CUGGUCUACAGAGCAAGUUCCAGGACAGCCAGGGCUACACAGAGAAAUCCUGUCUCCAAAAACAAAACAACAUAAACAAACAUUGCCCCCCAAUCUACAUAUGGGAACUAGAGAGAUGACUCCACCGGUAAGAGCGCGUGCAGCUCUUGUACUGGACUCACAUGGGGGCUCAGACAUUUGUCUCUCCAAUUCUAGGGAAGAUGGUGCCCUCUUCUGGCCCCAUAGGGGCUGAAUGCAUGUUGUACACAUAUACACAUACAUGCAGGCAAAACACUCAUACACAUAAAAUAAAAAUGAGCAUCUUUAAAAUCGACAUAUUGCACUUAUAUAAAAUGUCUAGGCUAAAGGAAAUCUAUAGACAGUUGAUUUGUGGUUGUCUAGGAGUGGGAUUGGGACCUUAUGGAGAUGGUGGAGGUGAGAGGCUAAGGAGUUCACUUUAAUUAAUUUAUUUUGUUUGUUUUUACAUGUCUGCCCGUAUUGCCUGCAUGGAUCUGUGAGCACCACUUGCAUGGACCACCGUAUGAAUGCUGGGAAUCAAACUCAGGUUCCCUGGAAUAGCAGCCACUGUUCUAACCACCUGUGUCAUCUCUCUAGUCCCAUGGAUCAGGAGUUGAGUAUCAUCCUCAGUCACACAGCAAGGUCCAGGCCAUAUUGGGCCACAUGAAAUUGUCUUUAAAAAUGGGGAAAAGUCGAGGGAUAUGGCUCAGGAAGUGGAGGCAGAAGGAUCAGAAGUUCAAGACGAUCUUUGACUACUUACAAUUGGGAAUCACCCUGUACCUUAUGGGACCUCAUUCCCCAAAUGAACAAAAAACAAUAGAGUAAGUUUUGUAGAGAGUGAAAGGUGGCUUGUUUUGGUGGGGUGUCCAUGGACCAUGGUUUGCAGUUAAACCAAUGACAUGUGGAAGCAAUUAGAGGUGCACGUGGAGCCCAUAUUGAACAUUGGAGAUCUUUGGGGUGUCGUUGCAGGUUCUUGGAUAACCCACUCAGAAUCAAGAGAGGGUGGUGUGGAGAUUACAGAGAGUGUUUGGGGUCAACAGAAGAUGUUUCCCAUGCCUCAUUGAAAGAGCACUGACCUAUUAUAUAUGAGGCCCUGGGUUCCUGAAACUCUUGGUACCGCAAAUGAAUGAAUGAUAUAAAAGCUGUUUAGAAGUUAUUGGCUUCAAGGGUCGAUUGAGGAUAGCGAAGAAGGAAUAAUUCGGAGGCUACGGAUGGCAGUUUAUUGGUGUACACUGAAUAUUGAUGAAGGGUGGACUGGAGGUAUUGUUUGGGAGUAACAGUUGAGAGAACUAUGGGAAGUGAUUUGGAGAUGCAAUUCAGACAUAAAGAGUGAUUUGGAGGCUACUGGAGUGUAGCUUGAAGCACACACUCUAAGGGCAUACUAUGAAAAAAUGUGCAUACAAUUUUGACAUUCAUGGAGGGUAACUUGCAGGUCUAACCUAGGGUCAACAAAUGAUUUCUACAUGCUUGAUCAAUAGAAUUGUGUGUAGGUGCAGGCCAAUGACAGCAGAGAAUGGCCUAGCCUAAAGGUACUGAUUGAGAUCAGACAAUACUUUGGAGCUAUAAUUUGGAGGAUGAUGGAAGGUCGUUUUGGGGAGCAUCUAGGAGACGGCAAUAGGAGCUUUUGGGAGUACUUUAGAGGCGUGAUAAAGGCUUAUAGAUAGCACUUGGGAUAUUGUCUUGGGGAAGAGUGACUUGGAGUCAGAGGCUCAGGGCGGCUCACCUAGGGGGUGUGGCUUAAAGCUCUGCCGCCCCCAAAAGCGCGUGCGCACAAACUCCCCGCUUCUUCUUCGUUUCUGGUGCUCCCAAAGCAGGAAAACCUAAGACCCAAGCUGGCGCCUGCGCACUUUGUCUCUGCCGCUGCUGUGGUCCCGCGCCCCGCCCCCCUCGUCCUCCAGCCCCCUAGGUUCGCGCUCAGCAGCGGAGGUGGUUGUGCAGCCAGAAACGGACGUCCUGAGUUAAAGGUGAGGGGCGCGGGGCCGCCGCCCACGGCGGGGCCACCGCACCUCCCCCACCAUCUGGGGGUCCCCCAUCUGCUCCUGAAGGCGAACGCUUGUGCUUGCGGUCAAACGCGGCCCAGAGGUAGGGAGCAGGCGAGGAGGCGCGCGCCCAGGGACGAGCGGGGCGCUGCGAGGGAAGGCGCGCCCACUAGAUCCCUUUGGGCCUCUACGGACCCCACCUGCGCGCAGUGCUAGGACCCUCGAUAGGAAGAUGAGUUCAAGUGAUACGGGACAAUGGCUGACUAAAAAGUACGUUCAGGAGUAGGGAUCUUGCUCAGAAGUAGAUUCCCAAGGCUCCGAGUUUCAUCUCUAGCAGGCACAUUCCUCAGGUCAGAUCGAGUGGCAACAAUGUAUGUGAAAUGUACCUGGUUCCUGCAUAUUUUGAAACAGGGUUUCAUGCUGUAAACCCAGCCUGGCUUGGAAUUCCAGUAUUUUAUCCUCCCUGGUGCUGGGAUCACAGGCGGGUGUUGUGUGUGUGUGUGUGUGUGUGUGUGUGUGUGUGUGUGUGUGUGUGUGUGAGAGAGAGAGAGAGAGAGAGAGAGAGAGAGAGAGAGAGAGAGAACGGAGGCAAGCAUGUGGAUGUGCACAACCUUUAGGAGUCAGCUGGCCUCUUGCACCAUGUUGAGUUCUAAGGAUUGAGCUCAGUCUUCAAGCUUGGCGGCAAGCACCCUUUUUACGUACCGUGCUAGCUCUGUUAAUUUCGUGUAUGUGUGUCCUUGUAUGUGAGGGCUCGUGUGGAGGUCAAAGGAAAACUUUACACAUUGGUCCUAGGUCCCUAGCUCGUCUGAGGUAGGGUUUCUCAUCUGCAGAGUACUCCAGGCUGGUUGGCCCAGGUUUCAGGGGAAUUCCAUCAUUGCCUGCUACUUUGCUGUGGGAGUGCUAUGAUUACAGACCUGCGACAUUGUGUCUGGCUUUUAUAGGAAUUCUAAGGAUCCAAAUGUACAUUGUCAGGCUUGCUUCACCAGUGUUUUUCACCACUAAGGCAUCUCUUAGGAUGCCUCCAUGAAUACUUUCACUUCUUGAUUUUGGAUAGUGAGAAUUCAGACAAGGUUACCCAAGAAAAGGAAAAACAAACAUACAUACAUCUGUUUCAGAUUUAUUGGGUGAUCCAGCUUUGUCUCAAAAGAAGCAUUCAAACAUAUCUGCUUGAUUCAGUGGGGAGGAACACUUGUCACUAUAACAGCGACACACUUUGAGUACUAAUACCCAGCCAGUUGCUGCAUCCGCGCAAGCUGUAAACGGAUCAAUCACUUGCUUGGAACAACUUAAUGUGCGUCUGUUACCAUUUUAUAAUUGUUUUUCUUUUUUUUUCUUUUUUCUUUUUUUUCGGAGCUGGGGACCGAACCCAGGGCCUUGCGCUUGCUAGGCAAGCGCUCCACCACUGAGCUAAAUCCCCAACCCCUAUAAUUGUUUUUAAAGACAAGGUUUUACUAUAAAGCCACUGGCUGUCCUGGAACUUGCUUUGUAGACCAGGCUAGUUUCAAACUCAGAGAGAUCUACCUGCUUCUGCCUCUAGAGUGCUGGAUUAAAGGUCUCCUUGCCCGGCAAAUUAGUGUUCUAUAAUUAACAUUGAGGACUCUGAGUCCCCAUAAUGUUCCCUUCACAAUCCCGGUUUUCCUCUUUAACAGAUGGGGAUAUAGAGGCGCAGAAAAGUGAGUUUUCUACGUCGUCACAUACUGUCACUGUGAGUGGCAAUAGAGUUAAAUCCUUGACUCACCGUUUACUAUUUGGGCAGGGUCCAUGUGUGUUUAGAGGUUAGACCAUCUUCUAGUCUGUUAAAAUAGUGUGGCUGAGGCUAUACCCAGUGGGAGAAUGCUUGCUUAGCAUGCUCCAGGUCCUGGGUUCAAUUUCCAGUGCUGAGAAAAAAAAUCAUGCAGGGGCAAUGAUGUAUGGGGGUGACUCGGCCACACUUGUCUACUAACUAUAUCUUCCCUAUUUCCAUCUAAACUAGUAUACCUCUGUGGGUUUUAUUACUAAUGAUUAUUAUUGUUGUUGUUGUUUAAAGGUUUUUUGGGUUUUUUUUUUUGUUUUUUUGUUUUGGUUUUCAAAACAGGGUUUCUCUGCAUAACCUUGGCUGUUCUGAAACUCACUCUAUAGACCAGGCUGGCCUUGAACUCAAGAGAGCCCCCUGCCUCUGCCCCUUGAGUGCUGGAAUUAAAGGCAUGCGUGUGCUGCCACCAACGCCUGGUUUUAAGGUUUGUUUUUAUUUUUGUGUGAGUAUCUGUGUCAGUAGAUGUCACUUGUGUAGUGGUACCCAUGGGGCCAGAAAGAGGGUGUUGGAUCCCUGAGAACUAGAGUUGACGGUUGUGACCCACCUGAUACAGAUGCUGGGAAGCAAACCACAGUCCUUUAGACGAACAAGUGCUCUCAAUCACUAAGCCAGAUCUCUCAAGCCUCAGGUUUAUUGUUCUUUAAAAACAAACGGACAGGGCUGGAGAGAUGGCUCAGAGGUUAAGAGCACUGUCUGCUCUUCCAGAGGUCCUGAGUUCAAUUCCCAGCAACCACAUGGUGGCUCACAACCAUCUAUAAUCAGGUCUGGUGCCCUCUUCUGGCCUGCAGGCAUACAUGCAGGCAGAAAGCUGUAUGAUGUAUACAUAAUAAAUAAAUGUUU